UACGUAGGUGGCGAGCGUUGUCCGGAUUUACUGGGCGUAAAGGGAGCGUAGGCGGACUUUUUAAGUGAGAUGUGAAAUACCCGGGCUCAACUUGGGUGCUGCAUUUCAAACUGGAAGUCUAGAGUGCAGGAGAGGAGAGUGGAAUUCCUAGUGUAGCGGUGAAAUGCGUAGAGAUUAGGAAGAACACCAGUGGCGAAGGCGACUCUCUGGACUGUAACUGACACUGAGGCACGAAGGCCAGGGGAGCAAACGGG
rnacentral:rRNA from 1 species